AUGUGGUGUACGUACAAAAGAACGUGGAGGAGAAAAUGUGUUCAUUGAGAAGAAUGUUUAGCAAGUCGCGAAAUAUUUGUUCUUGCGUUCAUAUCAUGAAUAAUGUAAGAGCAAAUCAAAUUAGGUUUCUGUGCAGGGAGGCGUCUACAUCAUCAAGGCUUAACGAGAAAAAUGCACAUUAUGAUAUUAUCGUUGCUGGCGGAGGAAUGGUUGGAACAACAUUGGCGUGUACUUUAGCUCAAGCACCAAGACUAUCAGGUAGGAAGAUUCUGCUUUUGGAAGGAAGCCCACAACAAAGCAGGGACCUGAAGCCACAGUACAGUAACCGUGUGUCUUCCCUCAACAGUGGCACAAAGGAUCUUUUGCAGUUGAUUGGUGCAUGGACGCAUAUUGCUAAUGCAAGAUACAAAACUGUAAAGAAGCUACAGGUGUGGGAGGCCUGUUCAGAUGCAAUGAUAACAUUCAGUCAUGAUGGAAUGGUUGAAGACAUUGCUUAUAUUGUGGAGAAUGAUGUGUUGUUAGCUGCUGUUAAUAGACAGAUUCAAGAACUGACUGGAUAUCUGACAGUUAUCCAUCAAGCUAAAAUAAAGGGAUACGAGCUUCCACAGCGCUGUGGAACAGCUAAUGAUGUUCGAGUUCAUCUAGAAAAUGGUUCAUCUUAUAUUUCCAGCUUAUUGAUCGGAGCUGAUGGUGCCAAUUCUCAGGUUCGGAAGGCAAUGGGAGUGCAGUAUUUAUCGUGGGAUUAUAACCAGAUGGGAGUAGUAGCCACACUGAACUUAUCUGAGCCGAUGAACAAUGUGGUAGCUUGGCAGCGAUUCCUGCCCACUGGGCCAGUUGCCCUUCUGCCACUUACAGAUGAACUGAGUUCGCUGGUAUGGUCAACAUCCAUUGAGCAUGCAAAGGAGCUGCUCAGUAUCUCUAAUGAAAGUUUUGUGGAUGCUCUGAAUGAUGCUUUGUGGAAGAAGUGUCCUCGGGAUAAGAUCAUUGAUGUAGCAACUCAGAGGUUAGAUAACUUGCUUGAAUCAGUGUUUGAGACGUCCAACGCUGUUCGACAACUGCACCCAAGUAUAUCUGGUGUAGUGGAGGGCAGUAGGGCUGCUUUCCCUCUUGGAUUUGGUCAUGCAACAUGCUAUGUUGGUAAAGGAGUGGCUUUAGUUGGAGAUGCAGCCCACAGAGUUCACCCAUUGGCUGGUCAAGGAGUCAACUUGGGGUUUGGAGAUGUUAAGUGCCUGUCUGAGUUGCUGUGUGAAGCUGUGUUCAAUGGCAGUUCACUUGGGAACAUGUCUCACCUUAUGAAAUAUGAGACUUUGAGGCAAAGACAUAAUCUGCCUACCAUGUUGGCAACUGAAGGCCUGCAGAAAUUGUAUGGAACAACAUUGACUCCAGUUGUGGUUCUUCGUAGUCUUGGACUUCAGCUUACACAUGUACUUAGUCCUGUGAAGAAAAUGAUUAUGAACUAUGCUGCAGCAUGAUGAAAGCCUACUGUCCUGAUGAAGUCCAUUUUCUAUGUUGUGGGCAUUAUCCUUUACAUGAAAUGCCAGAUUAAAGGCAGGGAAAAUGGAUCAGCAUCAAGAGGCAGGACGUAAAUGGUUGUUGAAAUGGAAAAAAUGUAGAAGGAUGUGACUGUGGCCUACUUAAGGUACUGUACCAUCAUUUUACUGCAGGGAUUGAAAUAUAUCAUGAAUAAUCUUGGAAUACCUGGACUCUAGACAGAGAUUAAAACAUGGAAUAUAUAGAAUAUGAAGCUGCAAUUGUAUUGCUGACAAUAGGAAUCUGAAACAUGUUGUAAAAUCUCUUUCCUGUUGAAUAUGAAUUGAUUUAAAACUUCUUGCAGGAGUGUACAUAUAUCUGCAUUGUCAUGAUGAUGUAAUGUGUACCUAUUUUGUUGUGCAGGAUAAAGUACUACAAACAAUUUUUAGGAAACCUGAAACAUGGCUGCUAGAUGCUUAAGCAUAAAACAAAUAAUAUACAUAUAUAAGAUAUUAGCAUAAUGAGGGACCUAGCAAAAAUAAUGGGAAAAUAAUGAAAUAUAAAUCAGGAAGAUGAAGGACUCAGUAACAGAUCCUGAAUAUGUACACUUCUCUCAGCAAAUGUCAUGAUAGUACCUUGAUGAGGCCACAACUACUUCCUUUCAAAUCCUUUCCAAUUCAUCAGUCAUCCUAUCAUUCAAUGCAAUAUAGUUGAUACUGACAGCAUUGUAAAAUAAACUGCCUGAAAGAAAUUUCUUCCUCUUUGGGUACAUGAAACAUUACAUGCUGGAACUAUAUGACCUUGGAAAUCAGUUGGUGUUUGUAGCUUUGUUCAGUGUCGACUGCAUAUUUCUACUGAGGCACCUGUGCAUUUCAGUAUAAUAAUACCAGAUAAUGUAAAAGAUAGUAAGAAAAAUAUUAUCACAUUAAACAUGAACAAGAUUUUAACGGUGACAAAUACUUUUACUGUGAUAAGUAUUUUUCUUUAUAAAAUUACAUUCAGUCUUGGAAUUCUGACAAUGGCGAACAGGUCACCUGAUAUUCAAACUAAGGCAUAUCAUAUGGUGAUUAGCAGCUUAUACAUCUAUAUCUGGGUAAUUGGAAUUCAACAUUAGGGUACGUUAAUUGCUUGUAAUUUUCCACAGAUAUUAAUUUUACACCUAGAAUAACAAUAUGAUACCACAUUCCAAAAGCAAAUAUUGCUAUAAAGUAGUAAGUAAGUAAGUACACACUAUGCAGCACCUGCUGCAAGUUCUAUCACCUUUGAGAUUCGUGCGCACAAGUAUUUGUCACAAAGUAGUGCACUGGUACCAUGGGCAUUGCCAGGAUUGGGGGGGGAUUUGCUUAUGAAGUUACAUUUUAGGAGUUUAAAAUAUUUCUAAUGAUCACUCUAGGGUCACUACAUUGAAACACAAUGGCACCACAUUUACAAUUAAUUUUACACUUUACUAUUAGAAUUUGGUACACUUCCACUCUUUUUUCAAUUUAGAUUUUUUGUCCAUAUUUUUUUUUGGGGGGGGGGACAGAUGUUCGACCCCCUGCCCUUCCACCACAGCACCCAUGAUUGCUACUGUGUACUGGAUCAAGACAGUUUUACAGUUCACAGUGUAAUACAAUCUACAGUGGAACCUCGCUUAACGAGCAUAAUCUUACUCGUAAUACAAAACACUCGUUAAGUGAAGCAA